CAACCUCAACUCAUAUGGGACUACCCCCUGAAUUUAAGCAUAUUAAUUAGGGGAGGAAAAGAAACUAACAAGGAUUUUCUAGUUAGCGGCGAGCGAAAGCGAAGCAGAAACUUUCUUCUCUUAGUAGCGGCGAGCGAAAAGAAAUCAGUUCAGCACUAAGUCACUUUGUCUAUAUGGCAAAUGUGAGAUGCAGUGUAUGGAACGUCAAUAUUCUAGUAUGAGAAAUUAACGAUUUAAGUCCUUCUUAAAUGAGGCCAUUUACCCAUAGAGGGUGCCAGGCCCGUAUAACGUUAAUGAUUAUUAGAUGAUGUUUCCAAAGAGUCGUGUUGCUUGAUAGUGCAGCACUAAGUGGGUGGUAAACUCCAUCUAAAACUAAAUAUAACCAUGAGACCGAUAGUAAACAAGUACCGUGUGAGGGAAAGUUGAAAAGAACUCUGAAUAGAGAGUUAAAUAGUACGUGAAACUGCUUAGAGGUUAAGCCCGAUGAACCUGAAUAUCCGUUAUGGAAAAUUCAUCAUUAGAAUUGUAAUAUUUAAUCAAUAUUAUAACGAUAGUGUGCAUUUUUUCCAUAUAAGGACAUUGUAAUCUAUUAGCAUGUAUGGAAUUUAUCAAACAAUUUUGAUAAGAGUUUAUUUAAAUUAGAGUGCUUGCAUUUUAACAUAAAAUAAAUUUCAAAAAUUUGAUAAAGUGCUGAUAGAUUAUAUGAGUACAGUGCGUUAAUUUUUCGGAAUUAUAUAAUGGCAUGAUUAUCAUUGAUUUUUAUGUUUAUUAUAAGCACUUGUAUGAUUAACAAUGCGAAAGAUUCAGGAUACCUUCGGGACCCGUCUUGAAACACGGACCAAGGAGUCUAACAUAUGUGCAAGUUAUUGGGAUAUAAACCUAAUAGCGUAAUUAACUUGACUAUUAUUGGGAUUAGUUUUUUAACUAUUUAUAGUUGAUUAACGCAAUCCCGGGGCGUUCUAUAUAGUUAUGUAUAAUAAUAUUUAUAUUAUUUAUGCCUCUAACUGGAACGUACCUUGAGCAUAUAUGCUGUGACCCGAAAGAUGGUGAACUAUACUUGAUCAGGUUGAAGUCAGGGGAAACCCUGAUGGAAAGACCGAAACAGUUCUGACGUGCAAAUCGAUUGUCAGAAUUGAGUAUAGGGGCGAAAAACCAAUGAACCAUUAGUAGCUGGUUUCCUUCCAAGUUCCUCAGUUAUUAUCUUGUUUUUCUAUUUAAACUGUUGUAUAUAAAUAAUCUCGAUCUUAAAGCGAUCGAUGAUUAGAGGCUUAGCGGUCGAAAACGACUUAAACCUAUUCUCAAAAACUAUAAUAUAAAGACUUAACUCUGAUAUGAAGUUAAGGUUAUGAUAUAAUGUUGCCCAGUGCGCCACUUUUGGAACAGAACUGCGCGCGGUGGGAAUAACGACGUAAUGUUACGGUGCCCAAAUAACAUAUCCAGCAUAAAACCAUGGAAAGCUGGUUUGGCUUUUAAUAAACGCCAGGACGUGAUCAUGGAAGUCGAAAUCCGCUAAGGACGUGUUAACAACUCACCUGGGCCAAUCACUAGCCCUUAAAAGGAGGCGCUUAAGUUGUAUUAACCUAUACAUUACCGCUAAAGUAGAUAUUUAUAUACUUGUAAUAUAAAUUUUGAAACUAGUGCUGAGUAGAAGGUACAAUGGUGUGCUUAGAAGUGUUUGGCGUAAGCCUGCAUGGAGCCGUCAUUGGUACAGAUCUUGGUGGUAGUAGCAAAUAAUCGAAUGAGACCUUGGAGGACUGAAGUGGAGAAGGGUUUCGUGUGAACAGUGGUUGAUCACGAGUUAGUCGGUCCUAAGUUCAAGGCGAAAGCCGAAAAUUUUCAAGUAAAAAAAAGUAACUAAAAUUUAUAUUUUGUCAUAAUUAAAAAACUUGAAUAAUUUUGAACGAAAGGGAAUACGGUUCCAAUUCCGUAACCUGUUGAGUAUCCGUUUGUUAUUAAAUAUGGGCCUCGUGCUCAUCCUGGCAACAGGAACGACCAUAAAGAAGCCGUCGAGAGAUAUCGGAAGAGUUUUCUUUUCUGUUUUAUAGCCGUACUACCAUGGAAGUCUUUCGCAGAGAGAUAUGGUAGAUGGGCUAGAAGAGCAUGACAUAUACUGUUGUGUCGAUAUUUUCUCUCUCGGACCUUGAAAAUUUAUGGUGGGGACACGCAAACUUCUCAACAGGCCGUACCAAUAUCCGCAGCUGGUCUCCAAGGUGAAGAGUCUCUAGUCGAUAGAAUAAUGUAGGUAAGGGAAGUCGGCAAAUUAGAUCCGUAACUUCGGGAUAAGGAUUGGCUCUGAAGAUUGAGAUAGUCGGGCUUGAUUGGGAAACAAUAACAUGGUUUAUGUGCUCGUUCUGGGUAAAUAGAGUUUCUAUCAUUUAUGGUAGUUCUUGUUCCCCGGAUAGUUUAGUUACGUAGCCAAUUGUGGAACUUUCUUGCUAAAAUUUUUAAGAAUACUAGUUGGGCAACCAGCUAGUUCUUUUAAAUUAUAACGAUUAUCAAUUAACAAUCAAUUCAGAACUGGCACGGACUUGGGGAAUCCGACUGUCUAAUUAAAACAAAGAGCAUUGUGAUGGCCCUAGCGGGUGUUGACACAAUGUGAUUUCUGCCCAGUGCUCUGAAUGUCAAAGUGAAGAAAUUCAAGUAAGCGCGGGCAACGCUGGGGAACUAUGCUCUUAAGGUAGCCAAAUGCCUCGUCAUCUAAUUUAGUGACGCGCAUGAAUGGGAUUAACGAGAUUCCUACUGUCCCUAUCUACUAUCUAGCGAAACCCACAGCCAAGGAACGGGCUUGGAAUAAUUAGCGGGAAAGAAGACCUUUUGAGCUUGACUCUAAUCUGCAGUGUAAGGAGACAUAAGAGUGUAGAAUAAAGUGGGAAUAUUAAAAUUUCGGUUUAGUAUCGACAAUGAAAUACCACUACUCUUAUUGUUUCCUUUACUUACUUGAUUAAAUGGAACGGUGUAUCAUUUCCUAGCCAUUAUACGGAUUAUAUUUAUUAUAUCUUAUGGUAUUGGGUUUUGAUGCAAGCUUCUUCUGAUCAAAGUAUCACGAGUUUGUUAUAUAAUCGCAAACAAUUCAUUAAUGAGAGAGUGCAUCUUAUGUGUUCUUAAAUUAAAAAUUUGUAUAACUCAAUUACUCAGGUAUGAUCCAAUUCAAGACAUUGCCAGGUAGGGAGUUUGACUGGGGCGGUACAUCUCUCUCAAAUACAUAACGGAGGUGUCCAAGGCCAGCUCAGUGCGGACAGAAACCACACAUAGAGCAAAAGGGCAAAUGCCUGACUUGAUCUCGGUGUUCAGUACACACAGGGACAGGCAAAAGCUCGGCGCUAUCGAUCCUUUUGGUUUAAAGAGUUUUAACAAGACGGUGUCAGAAAAGUACCAUAGGGAUAAACUGGCUUGUGGCGGCAAGCGUUCAUACAGCGACGUCGCUUUUUGAUCCUUCGAUGUCGGCUCUUCCUAUCACUGUGAAGCAAAAUUCACCAAGCGUUGGAUUGUUCACCCAUGCAAGGGAACGUGAGCUGGGUUUAGACCGUCGUGAGACAGGUUAGUUUUACCCUACUAAUGACAAAAACGUGUUGCGACAGCAUUCCUGCGUUAGUACGAGAGAACCGCAGUAGGACCAAUGCACAAUACUUGUUCGAGCGAACUAGUGCGUGUAUGACGCUACGUCCGUUGGAUUAUGCCUGAACGCCUCUAAGGUCGUAUCCGUGCUGGACUGCAAUGAAUAAAUAAGGGCAAUUUGCUUGUAUGGCUUCUAAAACAUUAACAAGUUUAUUAUUCAUUUAAUAGACGACGUAUGGAUGUGAUGCCAAUGUUACAUAUAACAUAGUAAAUUGGUGAGGAUCUUCGAUCACCUGGUGCCGCGCUAGUUAUAUAUUAAAACCUUUAUUAUUUAAUACAAUGACAAAGCCUUGAAUCAAUUGUAAAAACGACUUUUAUAACAGGCAAGGUGUUGUAAGUGGUUGAGCAGCUGCCAUACUGCGAUCCACUGAAGCUUAUCCUUUGCUUGACGAUUCGA